rnacentral:rRNA from 1 species
GUAUGAAAGGUUGGACAAGAAAUAAACUGUCUCAAUUAUAAAAAUUGAAUUUAACUUUUAAGUGAAAAGGCUUAAAUAAUUUAAGGGGACGAUAAGACCCUAUAAAACUUGACAAUAAUUUAAUUAAAUUAUAAAUUGUAAGUAUAACUUGAUUUAAUUGAUACUUGUUCCGUUGGGGCGACGAGAAUAUAAAAUAACUGUUCUUUUAAAUAUUUACAUAUAUAUUUGGUAAAGAUUGAUCCUUUAUUAAAGAUUAAAAGAUUAAGUUACUUUAGGGAUAACAGCGUAAUCUUCUUUGAGAGUUCUCAUCGACAAGAAGGGUUGCGACCUCGAUGUUGAAUUAAGAAAUCCUUAUAAUGCAGCAGUUAUAGAGGAAGGUCUGUUCGACCUUUAAAUUCUUACGUGAUCUGAGUCAGACCGGAG